AUUGAACGCUGGCGGCAUGCUUUACACAUGCAAGUCGAACGGUAACAGGCCUUCGGGUGCUGACGAGUGGCGAACGGGUGAGUAAUGCAUCGGGACGUACCCAGAGGUGGGGGAUAACGCAGCGAAAGCUGUGCUAAUACCGCAUGUGAUCUGAGGAUGAAAGCGGGGGACCGAGCAGCAAUGUUUGGCCUCGCGCCUUUGGAGCGGCCGAUGUCGGAUUAGCUAGUUGGUGGGGUAAAGGCCUACCAAGGCGACGAUCCGUAGCUGGUCUGAGAGGACGACCAGCCACACUGGGACUGAGACACGGCCCAGACUCCUACGGGAGGCAGCAGUGGGGAAUUUUGGACAAUGGGCGCAAGCCUGAUCCAGCAAUGCCGCGUGCGGGAAGAAGGCCUUCGGGUUGUAAACCGCUUUUGGCAGGAACGAAACGGUGUCCGCUAAUACCGGGCGCUAAUGACGGUACCUGCAGAAUAAGCACCGGCUAACUACGUG
rnacentral:rRNA from 1 species